rnacentral:rRNA from 1 species
AGUAAUACAAGGCAGACGGCUCAGUAACGCGUAGUCAACCUACCCUAUGGACGGGGAUAACCUCGGGAAACUGAGAAUAAUACCCGAUAGAACAUUAUGCCUGGAAUGGUUUAUGUUUCAAAUAAUUUAUUGCCGUAGGAUGGGACUGCGGCCUAUCAGUUUGUUGGUGAGGUAAUGGCCCACCAAGACUAUUACAGGUACGGGCUCUGAGAGGAGUAGCCCGGAGACGGGUACUGAGACACGGACCCAGGCCCUAUGGGGCGCAGCAGGCGAGAAAACUUUGCAAUGUGCGAAAGCACGACAAGGUUAAUCCGAGUGGUUUCUGCUAAAGGAACCUUUUGUCAGUCCUAGAAACACUGAUGAAUAAGGGGUGGGCAAGUUCUGGUGUCAGCCGCCGCGGUAAAACCAGCACCUCAAGUGGUCAGGAUGAUUACUGGGCCUAAAGCAUCCGUAGCCUGCUUUGUAAGUUUUCGGUUAAAUCCAUAUGCUCAACGUAUGGGCUGCCGGGAAUACUGCAAAGCUAGGGAGUGGGAGAGGUAGACGGUACUCGGUAGGAAGGGGUAAAAUCCUUUGAUCUAUUGAUGACCACCUGUGGCGAAGGCGGUCUACCAGAACACGUCCGACGGUGAGGGAUGAAAGCUGGGGGAGCAAACCGGAUUAGAUACCCGGGUAGUCCCAGCUGUAAACUAUGC